rnacentral:rRNA from 1 species
CGCGGGAAAUCUUACCGGGUCCGGACACACUGAGGAUUGACAGGCAAUAUAUUAGCAUAAAGACUCGUCUUUAGCGCUAAUUGUUAAAUAUGCUAGUCCUUUCAUGAUUAUGUGAUAGGUGGUGCAUGGCCGUUCUUAGUUCGUGGAGUGAUCUGUCUGCUUAAUUGCGUUUCACUAAGGGCCCAUAAAUUCAAGGUAUGUUAGCAAAUGCUGCUCUAUUGACCCCUAAUAGGCUUAACUGUCUUUAGCGCGUGUCUCUACGAGUUCUUUAAAGCACUGCGCAUGCUGUUGGGUCCUGAAAGCAACGAACGUGACCGCAACGUCUUGUUGCCUCUCUAUAAUACCUUCUUAUUUUUAAUAAGAGUA